UACAGGGGGGGCAAGCGUUGUUCGGAAUUACUGGGCGUAAAGGGUCUGUAGGUGGCCAACUAAGUCAGACGUGAAAUCCCUCAGCUUAACUGGGGAACUGCGUCUGAUACUGGAUGGCUUGGAUUCGGGAGAGGAAUGCGGAAUUCCAGGUGUAGCGGUGAAAUGCGUAGAUAUCGGGAGGAACACCGGUGGCGAAGGCGGUUCUCUGGGCCUGACCUGACGCUGAGGAGCGAAAGCGUGGGGAGCGAACAGG
rnacentral:rRNA from 1 species